GACGAACGCUGGCGGCGUGCCUAAUACAUGCAAGUAGAACGCACAGUUUAUACCGUAGCUUGCUACACCAUAGACUGUGAGUUGCGAACGGGUGAGUAACGCGUAGGUAACCUGCCUGGUAGCGGGGGAUAACUAUUGGAAACGAUAGCUAAUACCGCAUAAUAUUAAUUAUUGCAUGAUAAUUGAUUAAAAGGUGCAAUUGCACCACUACCAGAUGGACCUGCGUUGUAUUAGCUAGUAGGUGAGGUAACGGCUCACCUAGGCGACGAUACAUAGCCGACCUGAGAGGGUGAUCGGCCACACUGGGACUGAGACACGGCCCAGACUCCUACGGGAGGCAGCAGUAGGGAAUCUUCGGCAAUGGACGAAAGUCUGACCGAGCAACGCCGCGUGAGUGAAGAAGGUUUUCGGAUCGUAAAGCUCUGUUGUAAGAGAAGAACGGGUGUGAGAGUGGAAAGUUCACAC
rnacentral:rRNA from 1 species